rnacentral:rRNA from 1 species
UACGUAGGGUGCAAGCGUUAUCCGGAAUUAUUGGGCGUAAAGAGCUCGUAGGCGGUUUGUCGCGUCUGCUGUGAAAACUGGGGGCUCAACCCCCAGCCUGCAGUGGGUACGGGCAGACUAGAGUGCGGUAGGGGAGAUUGGAAUUCCUGGUGUAGCGGUGAAAUGCGCAGAUAUCAGGAGGAACACCGAUGGCGAAGGCAGGUCUCUGGGCAGUAACUGACGCUGAGGAGCGAAAGCAUGGGGAGCGAACAGG